UUCUUUUGAUAUGAUUUGUGAUUUCCCUCAAUACUGUUUCAUAAUGCUUUCAGAACAAUGGAACUUUCAAAGCCGUGUAAUGAAAGUACAAUCCAAGCCGGGAUUACAAAGUUUCCUCACCCCGCCUCACACCACAAAUUCUUACUAUGUGAUGCGUCAGGAAAGACAUACUCAGCAAAUUGCCCACCAAAUGAGGUAUAUCUCGUAAUUUCAACUAUGUUAUAUUUAUUUUUACCCAUGUCUCUAAACUGCAAAAUAUUUGUUGUACUUUCCUUGAUGUUCUUCAGUUUUAUCACGACUUGAUCAUCUAUUUUACAUUUUAAUGUGUCUCUCACGUUUUCCAUGCUGGUUGUUCUUCUUGUGCUCCGCCUUUGCAAAGGUUUUCAGCAUCAUGUCAGUUAUUUAAAGACGGUUUUACUAAUCCUUGUUCCAAAGAAAUUAUCAUCGCAGGAAACUUUACCUUUCCGUACCCUAACAGCUUCACAAAAUAUAUUCGUUGCGACACACUGGGCAAUGCUUGGGUAGAGGAAAGCUUAUCGGGUUCUUUAUGGGACCAAGCGAACCUAAUUUGCGCGUUACCCGCAGCUUACAAUCCUUGUCACCGGCACGGAAGCAUGGUACAAUCACUCUUUCCGCAUUACUGCAACCCCCGUCUCUACGUGCAGUGCGGAAAUAACCGGCAACCUUUCGUUCAUACGUGUCAGAAAAACUAUGUAUUUCUACAGUGGGAUUUGACCUGCGUACCUCCAGGAUUUCUGGGAUCGGAACAUCUUAGAUACACAUGUAACUAAAAUGACAUACGAAACUUCGAACAGAGAACAAAUAUUUAGAACUGUAGAAAUUUAGAAUGGCUACUUCAUGUUGUCUUUUGACCAACUACAAUGUUUGAUUUCAUUCUAAUCUUAUGAACUAAUAAAGUGCAUUAAAA